rnacentral:lncRNA from 1 species
AUCAUCAUCGGAUUUUUCACAGCUGACUCCAUCUUAGCAAUACUCAAAGCAUUUAUCUUGGAAGACAAUGCAGCGAUUUGAAAGGCUAACAAAGUAACUGAAUCAGAAUUUGUGGUGGCAGCAACAUUCUCCAAAUAUACCCUCUCGGCUGGCCAUUGAUAACAUGUAGUGCCCAUGCUAUCAAAAAUCUCCAUAGCUGCUCAUGCACUACCUGGAAAAACUCCAAACCAAAAAUAGAACCAAAAGAAAACAAAGAACAUAAAUAAAAAUAACAAAAAAAAAAUCCAGAUUAGUCUCAAACAAUCUACAGAUAGUACUGAUAAAAAUCAAUCCCCGGCAACGGCGCCAAAAACUUGUUCGCUAUUUUAUUUAACACGCCGCAAGUGUACGGGUGCAAUUGUGUACAGUAGCAAGCAAUGUCGUAUUCCACAGAGACUGAAUUUACCAAUUCCUAUCCUAAAUUAU